rnacentral:lncRNA from 1 species
ACCUCAGCCUCCCAAAGUGCUAAAAUUACAGGCGUGAGCCACCACGCCCAGCCAAUAUAAUUUUUUUUAAGUGUAAAAAGCCCACUGUGGUAGCAUGAGCCUGUAAUUCGAGCUACUCCGGAGGCCGAGGCAGGAGAAUCGCUUCAGUCCAGGAGUUCAAGGCUACGGUGAGCCACAAUCAUGCCACUGCACUCCAGCCUGUGUAAGAGUGAGACUGUCUGAAAAAAAAUUUUUUUAUAUAUAUGCAUAUGGUUAUACAUAUGCAAAAGGGUUAACAAUGGCUGCCUCUAAGUGGUAAGAUACAGGUAAAAUUUUUUCCUGCUUUACACUUUGUUCUACUUUUCUAUAUGUAACCAUAUAAUUCAUUAUUCUUCAAUUUUUUCUCCUUCCUGAAAUCUUUACUUCUCCCGUCAUUCUAAAAGUACUUAAACUGUUAUAUGUCUAUUUCCUGGUUAGCACAUCUAUCUGUGUAGGUUAUCUCUAUUAGUUUGAUCUCCAAAAAUUGGGGGCAAUUCCAUUUAGAUUGUUUCCUUUGUACAUCUCUAUAGAACAACUUUUUAAAAAGGUAUCUACGGAAAUAAAGCAAGAGAAACUAAUCAUACCUUAACUUAAAUGAGAUCUACAGAAAUAGCAUGCAUAUGCCAAGUUAUAUGGCUCUUAAUUCAGUACAAAGAAGAUCCUUUUGAACUAAAGUUUAGUUCAGGAAAUAAUCGGUGUAUAUCAUCAAAAAUACAAAGUAAAAAGCAGUUAUCCUUAUAAGCUAGAAGGCAGAUAUCCUAAGAAUUCAGAGAAAGGGAAGGGAAGAAUUCAGAAGGUAAAAAAAGAUUUUUAAAAAUACUAUUAGAACUUUUUUGGGGGGAAGUAAUGUUAACAGGUAGGUCUUAGCCAGACACGAUGGCUCAUGCCUGUAAUCCCAGCACUUCGGCAGGCUGAGGCAGGAGGAUCACUUGAAGCCAGGAGUUCGAGACCAGACUGCGCAACAAAGCGAGACCCUGUCUCCACCAAAAAUUGAAGAAAAAAAUUAGCCAGGGGGCGCACAUCUAUAGUCCUUGCUACUCAGGAGGCUGAGGUGGGAAGAGCACCUGAACCCAGGAGUUCAAGGCUGCAGUGAGCUAUAAUUACACCACUGCACUCCAGCCUGAGUGACAGAGCACAACCCUGUUUCUUAAAAAAGUUCUAGUUCAGGCACGGUGGCUCACAUCUAUAAUCCCACCACUUUGGAAGAUUGAGGCAGGAGAAAUGCUUAAGCCCAAGAGCUCAAGACCAGCCUGGGUGACACGGCAAAACCCAGUCUCUACUAAAAACGGAAAAAUUAGCCAGGUCCACGUGGUGGCACAUGCCUGUAGUCCUAGCUACUCAGGAGGCUGAGGCAGGAGGAGCACUUCAGCCCGUGAGGCCGAGGUUGCAGUGAGCCAAGAUCGCACCAUUGCACUCUAGCCUGGGUGACAGAGUAAAACAAUAUCUCAAAAAAAAAAAAAAAGAAAAAAGUUCUAACUUUUUCCUAUAGAAACAAACAUAUCUAUAAUAUUUAGCUUCUCAAACCAGUACAUAGUUAGCACAUAGUGUACAUUGGUAUACUUUUUUCCUCUUUUUUAAAAUUGAUAUAUAACAGUUAUACAUAUUAAUACCUGUAUACAAUGUGUAAUGAUCAAAUCGGGGUAACUGGGAUAUCCAUCACAUGAAGUAUACUUCUAAUAACUUAAACAAUACUUAGUAUUGCUUGAGAAAAUUAUACUUCAAAUCUAAACAUCUUAUACUUUAGUCUGUAAGCCAGUGCUAGUAGAAAUAGAAUGGUUAGUCACAUGUAUAAUUUUAAAUUUUCUAGUGGUCACAUUUAAAAAUUUUAAAAUAAAAAUAACCCAAUAUAUCACAAAAUAAUUUCAUUUCAAUACGUAAUAAACAUUUUAAAAAUUAAGAUACUUUACUUACAUUCUUCUUUAAAAAAAAAAAAAAUCCGCCGGGCAUGGUGGCUCACGCCUAUAAUCCCAGCACUUUGGGAGGCCGAGGCAGGCAGAUCGCGAGGUCAGGAGAUCGAGCACAUGCUGGCUAACACAGUGAAACCCCAUCUCUACUAAAAAUACAAAUAAUUAGCCAGGCGUGGUGGCACGCGCCUGUAGUCCCAGCUAUUGGGGAGGCUGAGGCAGGAAAAUCACCUGAACCCGGAAGGUGGAGGUUGCAGUGAGCUGAGAUUGUGCCACUGCACUCCAGCCAGGGCAACAGAGCGAGACUCUGUCUCAAACAAAAAAAAGAAAAAAAAAAUCCAAUGUAUAUUUUACAUUUAUGUCUAUCUUAAUUCGGACUAAUCACAUUUCAAGUACUUAAUAACCCAUCUGGCCAAGUAAUGGCUCCUGUUCUGGACAGCACAGCUCUAGCCACAGCAGCUAAGUGCCUGAGGUAUUGAGUAGGUCACGCAUGGGAUAUUUCAUGCCAUGGCAGGGGGACAGCUAAACGCAGUGAAGUGCAACAAACACGAUUUAGACUUAACACUGCCUAAAAAUACCAAGAACAGCAAUGGCACAAAUGCCACAACCAGUGAUGUAUAGCUGCCCUUUUAUAUCCCAAGGUUUCUACUAUCUCCUACAAAAUGUUUGUGCCAUUUGUUUCCUUUGUGUCUAUUUACUCUACAAAGUUAUUGUUACAUUAUAGCUUCACUGUUCACAAAGACUUACCCUAAGGAGGCAGGACAUGCUACCACAGUGGCCAAUUUAAGGGAGAAAAGUCCAAGGGUCAUCUCUCCCCUACUCAUAACCCCCUAACAGCACAGCACCAUCUCUAACAUUACACACCUUCACUUUCUCCCACUUCUGUAAUUCUGCUCACACUUUACCCAUUUAUCAUACACAUUUAAAUGUGCAGAAUUUGUUAAUACUGAAUUCUAGGGGGUUGGUUACAAUGCCUCUUCAAUUUCUACAUUAUUAAGAAUGUAACUAACGAAACUUACAAGAAAUACAUUUUACUACUAUAAGCAAAAAUGAUAACAUACAAAGUAUUUUUAUAUGAAUGUAAAUUUAGGCUAAUACAGGUUAUUAAUGUCAGAUUUAUGACUGCGCUCUUUCAAUCAUCCUCUUCACUAAAGGUGGGCAUCCUACUGGCACAGAGACCAAACCCUGCCCUCCACCUGUUUUUGUAGAUUUUUUGGGGAACACAACUAUACCUGUAUUUUUAGGUGUUGUCAAUAACUGCUUUCUCACUACAUUUGCACAGUUGGAUAGGUACAAGAGACCCUAUGGCCAAGCAAAGCCUGAAAUACUGAUUAUCUGGCCCUUUGCGGAAAAAAUUUGAUGACCCCUCCUCUUUACCAUUAUUUCAUAAGGAAAAGUUGCUGAGUUACAAGGGACUUUCUUAAGAACGCACCUGUAAUAUGAAGUCAACCAACACUCUGGCGAACAAACUGAGGAACAAAGUGCAACAUACUAUUAAUUUGUUGGGUAUUGGGAAAACUAAAAAACUAAAAACCUAGUAGGGGAAGAUUAAAUUGUGACAUAAAAAUCAGAAACUAGGCCGGGUGCCGUGACUCACGCCUGUAAUCCCAGCACUUUGGGAGGCCGAGGCGGGUGGAUCACAAGUCAGGAGGUCAAGACCAGCAUAGCCAAGAUGGUGAAACUCCGUCUCUAGUAAAAAUUCAAAAAUUAGCUGGGCACGGUGUCAGGAGCCUGUAAUCCUAGCUACUCGGGACGCUGAGGUGGGAGAAUCGCUUGAACCAGGGUGGCAGAGGUUGCAGUGAGCCGAGAUGGAGCCACUGCACUCCAGCCUGGGCGACACAGUGAGACUCCGUCUCAAAAAAAAACAGAAACAAAGUACAAUUCAGAUAAAAACAAAGUGUACUCUACUUAGGGGCCAAAACACACUCAUUCUCUCUAUGUAUGUAAGUAUGUAUGUGUGUGUGUGUGUGUGUGUGUGUGUGUAUAAUACAUGUAUAUAUAUACAUAAUAUAUACGUAUAUAUUAUAUAUGUAUAUAUAUACUCGAUCUCGGGAGAUCGAGACCAUCCUGGCUAACACGGUGAAACCUCGUCUCUACUAAAAAUACAAAAAAAUUAGCCAGGCUUGGUGGCAUAUGCCUGUAGUCCCAGCUGCUCGGGAGGCUGAGGCAGGAGAAUGGCAUGAACCCGGGAGGCGGAGUUUGCAGUGAGCCGAGAUCUCAUGACUGCACUCUAGCCUGGGUGGUAGGGCCAGACUCCGUCUCAAAAUAAAUAAAUAAAUAAAUAACAUAACAUAACAUAAAAUCAGAUAAUUCUUAGCAAAUGCCCCUAAAAUGUAAGUGCACUCAAUAAAUAUUAUCAAUUCUUAUUGUUCAGGUACCACAUGUGCAGAGAGAUCCUAGAAGAAUAACCAGUAUGGUAGAGAAACAAUGUCAGAAAAACUCAUGUUUUCAAGAGAGAAAGUUAGACAUUUGGAAGGGGAGCAGAAAGAGACAGAACUAUCUCAAACAUCUGAAGAUAUUUCUUCUUGUCAGCUCCUGAGGGCAAGUGUAGGAAACAACAGAAAUUCUAGGAAGAAAGAGUUUUUGAAUCAUUGUUAUAGGUAGUAUGGGGCAAACAACAAGGCAGGUCCACAAGUUCUUAGGAUGGUUUUCAUUGUGUUUUGAUGGAUAACAUAUAUUAGACUAUCAGUGAACACACAAAAUCCAAUCAGGAUGACCCAACUAUAAAAUUGUAGCAACUGCUUGUGGUAGACUGUUUGCAAAGAGGUCUAAAGGUGUGCAGGCUCCUUUGAAAUAUGACAUUCAUGCUCUUCUCACCAAGAGCUGGAGUCUAUUUCAUGACCUCUUGAAUCUGGGCUGACCUUGUAAUCUGUUUUGACCAAAAUAAUAAAGAAAUGAUAUUGAGUGACUUCCAUUCUCACCCUCUUGAAACUCUAAGACCACCAUGUGAAACAGCCUCUUUCUGAGGUUGAAAGACCACACGGUAACUAAAACCAUCCCAGCUGAGUUCCCAGACCUGUGACUGAGGCUCUUACUCCAACCUGCCUCAGCCUAGCCUCCAGCUGACUGCAGCUAAGUGAGUGAGCCCAGAGGAAACCAGCAGAAAACAAAUUGGCAAUCCACAGAAUAGUGAGCAAAUAAAAUGGGUUGUUAUUUUGAGCCACCAAGUUUUGGGGUAGGUUGUUACUACAACCUACAAUAUUGCAGUAACUGAUCAAUGUAUUGUCUGAAGAAAAAAUGUAUUUAAAACAUCUGAAACUAAGUACGUGUCUGCUAAGUAGACAAAAGAUAAAAUUCAAAAAGUAAAGCAUUUAGGAAUCUCUGCUAUACCAUCCAGGAAAAAAGGACUCAUGGAUCCAAGUAUCAGGACAAUACGGCAGGCUUAUUCCUUAAAAAGGAGCUAAACAUCUCAUUUAAAGACACUAGCUAAGAAAAUUAUCCAACUUCCUUUGAAAACCCCAUGCUCACCAAAUAGCCUUUGAUUAUAACUAGAUUUCACACAUAACUGACCAUUAGUAUAGGAAUUGGUCAGUAUGAAAGACAUUCUUCCCUACUAUAAAUUGAUGAUGUUCUGAUAUGUCCAUUGAAUACCUAGAGCUUAAUCACUUGGGGUAUAGUAAAAAGCCAAAUGUCUAAGCAGACAGUACAGAGUGGUAUCUACACAAAGAUCUAGGCAGCCAGUUUAAAUUCCAGGCAAUGCCCCUAUUUUCUUAAUGCAUACUUCAACAGAUAUCAGGAAGAAUUUUCCAUAAUAAGCACUAUGUGAUAAACAGUAAAAAGAGCAUAAAUGCUAGAAUAAUUGAUGUUAGAGUCUAGCAUUAUCAGUUACUAGAAAAAUAAUUUUGGACACCGUAAUCUUGGAUUUACUCCCCACCCCAACUUGUUUCCUCACCUGUAAAAGGAGGCUGUUGAAAGGACUGACUUAUUAACAAGGGAGAGCAGAUGAACAAUGAAAACAGGAUGCCUUGUAAGCUAGUUAAACCUCUUCCAAUGAAAAGCCAGUGUGAAACAUAAUUUGGACCACCUGUUAGUGAUGUUGUGGAAGAGAGUUAUACAUUUUAUAUUGAAGGCUGAACUCACUCAAAGAUGGGAAAUAUAUUCCAAGUGUCUACAUGGCUAAAAAAAAAGUUAUUUUAUUUAUGAGAUUAAGUCACUAGGUAAUACAACAAAUCAUUUUCCUAUCCCACAAGUCAAGAAAUUCUGUAUUCAGACCUGUUCCAUUUUUUAACAAUCCACAGCAAAAAUAAACAAAAUUGUUGUCGGCUAGCCAAAAUUAAAGAAUAUUUUUAUUUUUGUAGAAACAAGGUCUUACUAUUUUGACCUGGCUGAUCUCAAACUCUUGGCCUCAAGUGAUCCUCCCACCUCAACCUCCCAAAAUGUUUGGAUUAUAGGCAUGAGCCACCGCAUGCAGCCAGAAUAAAUCGUAUUUAAGAGACUACAUUAUGCACCUUAGCUUACGCAUUUGUCUAUAGUUGAUGUGCUAUUGAGUCUUCUUUACCUAUGAAAAAGCAGGUCAAUCAAGAGUUAGCAAUUAGUUAAGGAGAAUGUAGUAAGGAGCUUCUGCUACAUAAUCACUGAGGAUGCAUCCUGGCCAGUCACUGUCUCAAAGAGUUCAGGUUCUUGGAGAAGACAAAAUGUGAGGCACAGGCCAAGUGCGGUGGCUCACGCCUGUAAUCCCAACACUUCGGGAGGCCGAGGCAGGUGGAUCACCUGAGGUCAGGAGAUCCAGACCAUUCUGGCCAACAUGAUGAAACCCCGUCUCUACUAAAAAUACAAAAAUUAGCUGGGCGUGGUGGCAGGCUCCUGUAAUUCCAGCUACUCGGGAGGCUGAGGCAGAGAAUGCUUGAACCCGGGAGGCAGAGGUUGCAGUGAGCCGAGAUGGCACCACUGCACUCCAGCCUGGGCGACAGGGUGAGACUCCGUCUCAAAAAAAGAGCAGCCUGCAGAGGUUUCCGUCAUAGUUUUUCCAGAGUUGUUCCAAAGGUCAGGUUACCAUACUACAGACCACCAUAUCCACGUACCACAAAUGCAUUUUUGGAAAGAUCUCUUUGUAAUCAUUUGCGAGAAACAGAAAGUAAUUCAAAAUGUAACAUGAUUAAAUGGCAGUCUUCUUCCAAUUUUGUCAAAAUUAUUUCCGUUCAGUCAUAGAAACCUAAGAACAUCAGCAAUACUCCUUAAUUCAGGGUAAAUGGUCAAAUACCUUUGCUCCCAAACCAGUAAUCUCUCUGGGACUGCUUGUAAUUUCCAAAAGCCCAAACACUUCAGCAUAAGGGAAAAAACAAAAAUUGAAAAUAAAAACCUAGUUAUUUAAAAUGUUUAAAUGCCCUAAGACUACAAAGGAUACAAUUCCUUAAUAUUAAUGGAAGAUAAGACUAGGCUUGGUGGUUCACGCCUAUAAUUCUAGCACUUUGGGAGACCAAGGCAGGCAGAUCACUUGAACUCAGGAGUUCAAGACCAGCCUGGGCAACACGACGAAACCCCGUCUAUGAAAAUACAAAAAUUAGCCAGAGUGGUGGCAUGCACCUGCAAUCCCACACUCAGGAGGCUAAGGUGGUAAGGUGGGGGGGGAUUGUUUGAGCCCACGAGGUGGAGGCUGCAGUGAGCCAAGAUUGUGCCACUGCACUCCAGCCUGGGCGACAGAGCGAGAACCUGUCUCAAAAUAAGUAAAUAAAUAAAAAUAAUGGAAGACAGAUAGUUCUGGAAUGCGAAAAAUCUGUAUUUCAGCAAUUCAGAUUUCUCCAUGGUUAGAAUAAUUCAGCUCAAGAACCAAAGUGCCUUAAGAGUGUUUAAUUCACAAAGGAUAACAGUCAUAUUCAUCCUACCCUCUAAAAGUGAGAAAAGCCUCUUUAAAAGACUGCUUACGUGGAAGGAGAAAGCAGUUUGAAAUUUAAGCCUAUUUACUAUUUUGUUGAUACUCUUAGUUUUUUUUUUAUCGUAAUUGUUAGCAAGGCCUGUAGCUUUAAAAUCCUAAAAAAAAAAAAAAAAAAAAAAAAAAAACUUGUCCAAUUACCUAAUCCAAGUUCACUUAACUAGUUACGAGAACUCUAUUUGAGUAACAAAACAAGUCUCUACAGGAGCAGAGCGAGAUGUGCACUCCUACUUAAAAGUACUGUCUGACGAAAAGUACUCUACUUCUCUGGAUAUAACAUGUUUAACGUGUAACCCUUUCUGUGGAGCUGAAGAAAAAGGUUUACUUAAAAUAAAUGCUCAAAGGAACUUUUCUAACCUCACUAUUCAUUUCUUAGACAGGUACAGUUUGCCCAAAACCCUCCCUUGAUCAAGCCCCCACUCAGAAAAGGUGCCUCCUUACACGCGACGUUACUUGGUUGCUAUUACACUUGGUUUGCAAGCCACAAAGGGACUCCUUUUGAGUGCAGAGGAUAAAGCAUAAGAAAAAGAGAGGAUCACCCUCUUCGAGUGAUUGAUCAAGUCAGGUUCUCACUUAGAGAUCCUGUUUAAACACAAGACGCUAAAACACACCCCCUUGCUCCGUGUCACAGGACUAGAUCUCUUGGGAUAAAUUAAGCGACGGGCUGAAAAUGUAGGAGCUGUAACUACACCAGCAGCUCCGCGUUCUUAUCAAAACAAUAGCGAGUGGCACAUGUCAGGCAGCCCACAUGCGCAGGGGGAUAAAGCGGCGCCUGGCUGAGUCUGGAGUUGAACUUGUCUUAACCCCCUCCCCCAACAACCUCCACCGCGCUUCCCGGCUAUGCGAAAGUGAAAACGAGGGGCGCCCAAGGCCCUGCUUCUUCCCCCUUCCUCUUCCCCUUGCCCAGCCGCGACUUCUUCCUCACUGAUCUCCCGGGGGCGGAGACGCUGAGUUCCCCGGAGACGAGUUAGUCACCAAGAAGAGGCGGUGACAGAGAGCGCGGCUCGCGUCGCACUCCGAGGCCUAGCAGCGCCGGACGGGAGGCCGCGGACGGAGGCUCUCGCGUCCCGCGCCCUCCACCCCUGGCCCGUAGGGACGCCCCCUCCUUCCCUUCUAGAGCGAGUCUCAACUCCGCUCCUCUCUCCCCUACCCCAGGCAGCUCCAACGUCAGACCCCACUCCCGACUGAGAAAACGAAGCCCAGCCCAGUCGUUUCCUGCCCACCGGGGCAGGAAUUCCCUUCCCCGGCCCAGGGACUGCGGCCCCACGUCGCUGACCCUAGCGGGGAUCCCCUCGGCCGCCGGGAGGGGAUCCCGGAACUGGCCCCGGAGUGCGCGUGUGGCCGCGGCGGGGAGGGGCGAGGCGGGGAGUUUCCGCCGCCCCGCGGCCAAGAGGGCGGGAGGGCGACAGCAGCGGCUAGGAGCGGUCCCCGAGGCCGGCCAGGGACCCAGCCUCCUCCGCCACUACCAACCCGCGUUCCCCACGCGCGCCGCCGCCAGUUGGCCCCGCGCGUUCUCCAGGUGGAGGCCAGGAGGCAGAGAACCGCGGGCCCGGGGGCCACCCGUCACUUUCAAGUCGCCCCGCCAGAAGCCCAGGGCGAGGAAAAGGAGAGAGACAAAAGAGCGCUGCGGGGGGAGUCCCCACACCCCCCGCGGCCCCGCACACGGCCCGGCUCUUACUCGUAGUGGCGGAAGAUCUCGUUGGUGACUUUACAGUAGAAAACUUCCUCGUCGGGCCGCAGGUCCGCGGGCGGCUUCUGUCUCACAAACGGCUUUCGGUGUAGCAGCGGCAUCUCCCGUCCGCCCGCGGGCUCGCCUGGACCCUCGGCCGCCCGCGCCGGCCCCGCUUCCCUAUCAAAAUUGGAGGGAAAGGAAAGCCGGUAAGGUGGGGAGCCCUCGGCGGCAGCGUGGGCCGGUCCGCGCGCUGGGAGAAGCUCGGCUGCCUUUUGUGUGACUGACGCGCCGCGGCCGCUACCGGAGCCGAGUUCGUUCCUGCCGCUGCCCGGGUGUCGAGCGAGCGGAGCCGCCGCCGCCCCUGCCCCCCGAGCGCGCCCUACCUCCUCUCGUCCUGCCGCCGCCUCACAAUGGGGCAGGACGCCCCGCCGCGGGGGGCAGUGCGGGAGCGGCGGCGGCCCCCUCCCCCAGCGCCGGCUCCUCGCCCGCCGCCGCCGCCAGGCUCACAACGUGCUCGGCGCGCAGCUGGCCGGCCGGCCAGCCCAACGCCGCCAGAGCGCUCGCCGCGGGCGGACCCCGGAGCUGCUCCGCUUUGUUCCCGGCUCGCCUCCACUUCCCCGCCGGCGCCGGCCGGCUCCCGAGCGACCCUCACCUGCGAUCACGCCGACUGCCACUUGUCCACCUUCUCCACUACAAAGGCAACGAGGGGAGACCCCGUCCUCCCAGGGGACCGCCUCUCUCCGGCCCCGCCGCGCCCCUGGCUGCCGCUUCUCCCGCUGCCACUGCCCGA